rfam:Hepacivirus hominis isolate 1316-1 polyprotein gene, complete cds
CAAUCGGGUGGCAUCCUGCCUCAGGAAGCUUGGGGCGCCCCCAUUGA